rnacentral:rRNA from 1 species
GAUGAACGCUAGCGAUAGGCUUAACACAUGCAAGUCGAGGGGCAGCAUGGUCUUAGCUUGCUAAGACUGAUUGCGACCGGCGCACGGGUGCGUAACGCGUAUGCAACUUGCCUCUCAGAGGGGGAUAACCCGUCGAAAGACGGACUAAUACCGCGUACACUCCAUCUUGGGCAUCCUAGGUAGAGGAAAUGAAAUUCGCUGUGAGAUAGGCAUGCGUCCCAUUAGCUAGUUGGUGAGGUAACGGCUCAUCUAGGCGGCGAUGGGUAAGGGAACUGAGAGGUGGAACCCCGACACUGGGACUGGGAACAGGACCAGAGUCCUACGGGAGGCAGCAGUGCGGAAGAUAGGACAAUGGGAGAGAGCCUGAUCCAGCCAAGUCGCGUGAAGGAUGACUGUCUUAUGGAUUGUAAACUUCUUGUAGACGGGAACAACAAGAGUCACGGGUGACUCCCUGCAUGUACCGGAUGAAUAAGCAUCGGCUAACUCCGUG